rnacentral:rRNA from 1 species
CAGCAGCCACGGUAAUACGAAGGGUGCAAGCGUUACUCGGAAUUACUGGGCGUAAAGCGUGUGUAGGUGGUUGUUUAAGUCUGUCGUGAAAGCCCUGGGCUCAACCUGGGAAUUGCGAUGGAUACUGGGCGACUAGAGUGCGGUAGAGGAUAGUGGAAUUUCCGGUGUAGCAGUGAAAUGCGUAGAGAUCGGAAGGAACAUCUGUGGCGAAGGCGACUAUCUGGGCCAACACUGACACUGAGACACGAAAGCGUGGGGAGCAAACAGGAUUAGAUACCCCCGUAGUCCCUGUCUCUUAUAC